rnacentral:rRNA from 1 species
AUGGGGAGCGAACAGGAUUAGAUACCCUGGUAGUCCAUGCCGUAAACGUUGGGCACUAGGUGUAGGGGACAUUCCACGUUCUCCGCGCCGUAGCUAACGCAUUAAGUGCCCCGCCUGGGGAGUACGGUCGCAAGGCUAAAACUCAAAGGAAUUGACGGGGGCCCGCACAAGCGGCGGAGCAUGCGGAUUAAUUCGAUGCAACGCGAAGAACCUUACCAAGGCUUGACAUACACUGGACCGUUCUGGAAACAGUUCUUCUCUUUGGAGCUGGUGUACAGGUGGUGCAUGGUUGUCGUCAGCUCGUGUCGUGAGAUGUUGGGUUAAGUCCCGCAACGAGCGCAACCCUCGUUCUAUGUUGCCAGCACGUGAUGGUGGGAACUCAUAGGAGACUGCCGGGGUCAACUCGGAGGAAGGUGGGGAUGACGUCAAAUCAUCAUGCCCUUUAUGUCUUGGGCUUCACGCAUGCUACAAUGGCUGGUACAGAGAGAGGCGAACCCGUGAGGGUAAGCGAAUCCCUUAAAGCCAGUCUCAGUUCGGAUCGUAGUCUGCAAUUCGACUACGUGAAGUCGGAGUCGCUAGUAAUCGCAGAUCAGCAACGCUGCGGUGAAUACGUUCCCGGGCCUUGUACACACCGCCCGUCAAGUCACGAAAGUCGGUAACACCCGAAGCCGGUGUCCCAACCCCUUUGUGGGAGGGGGCCGUCUAAGGUGGGACUGGUGAUUGGGACUAAGUCGUAACAAGGUAGCC